rnacentral:tRNA from 1 species
GGCGAUUUAGCUCAGUUGGUUAGAGCGUGUGCUUAACACUAGGACUGUCCUGCAGUCAAGCGUUGCGCACAAGGUCGGCGGUUCGACCCCGUCAAACGUCA